rnacentral:tRNA from 1 species
CCCCUUGUGGCUCAGUUGGUAGAGCAUGGUGUUUGCAAUGCCAGGGUUGUGGGUUCGAUUCCCACGGGGGA